rnacentral:rRNA from 1 species
GACGAACGCUGGCGGCGUGCUUAACACAUGCAAGUCGAACGCUGAAGCUCAGCUUUUGUUGGGUGGAUGAGUGGCGAACGGGUGAGUAACACGUGAGUAACCUGCCUCCUUCUUUGGGAUAACGCCCGGAAACGGGUGCUAAUACUGGAUAUUCACUGGUCUUCGCAUGGGGGUUGGUGGAAAGGGUUUUUCUGGUGGGGGAUGGGCUCGCGGCCUAUCAGCUUGUUGGUGGGGUGAUGGCCUACCAAGGCGUUGACGGGUAGCCGGCCUGAGAGGGUGACCGGUAACAUUGGGACUGAGAUACGGCCCAGACUCGUACGGGAGGCAGCAGUGGGGAAUAUUGGACAAUGGGCGCAAGCGUGAUGCAGCGACGCCGCGUGAGGGAUGGAGGCCGUCGGGUUGUGAACCUCGGUCGCUCAUGGUCAAGCCGCAACAAUGGUUGUGGUGAGGGUAGUGGGUAAAGAAGCGCCGGCUAACUACGUG